rnacentral:miRNA from 1 species
UUUGCGACUAUAUCCAGGCCAUU